ACUCAGGACUGCUAUAGUUACGUGCCCUAGGCCAACCGUUAGCUUCGGCUUGAUUUGCAGCCAUAACCGCAACCUUUCGGCUAGCGGCUAUCCAAAAGCUUCAUUAUUGUCAAUUCCAAAAGCAAGGGCUAUGCUUUCAUCGUGUUGCUAAAUCGUUAAACUUUAGCGUGCUACACUGAUCAAUUGUUCAACUGUCUCAGGGUAAAGCGGGAGUUUGGAUUUGGCGGUUUCAGAGCAACUUUUGGGCUAGAUUGUACGGUGCAGUGGUCUCCAUGUAAAUGAACGGUGUUAACCCCAGGCUGCGGUGCCCGUUUUAAGAAGUUGGUGAAUAGAACAGAAGGGGCUCAUUUUAAGGUGCAAGUAUUUACUAUGGAUUCUGAAGACGCGAGAACAGCGCGAGAAUCUCUGGACGUUGCAUUUCACAUGGCGAAUAUACUUGACACAGGUCUGGACCGUCACACACUUUCUGUUCUUAUGGCUCUUUGUGACCUGGGUGUCAACCCGGAGGUACUUGCGGCUGUUGUCAAGGAACUGAGCAGAGACGUGGCCAACAAAAAAUUGCUGGCUUGACACUUGGCAGAAACCCCCCAUCUUCCUCUGUUUUUGCUGCUUGCAGGUUGCAGCUCCAUCAUCUGCGUCCUGAAUGGGUUCACCGUUCUAUCUCUGCAGGCUUGACUCUUUUUUUUUUUUUUUACCUGAAGGCUUGACUCCUUCAGACCAGCCAUAUUGUAUGUUUUUCUUGUUUGGAUAAAUUGCAUAAUUCAAAGUUUGUGUGUGCAUCGGGUUUGGGUGCACUUUUGUUUGGUUUCGUUUCAUAAUUCAUGAUAUUGGUCUAGCCCCAAAAAGAGGGUGCGGAUUUCGCAAUUUACAUCUAUUGAAUGCCCCACUUUAAACA